AGAACGAACGCUGGCGGCAUGCCUAACACAUGCAAGUCGAACGCUUUGAGGGUUUCGGCCUUCAAGGAGUGGCGCACGGGUGAGUAGCGCGUGGGAACCUGCCCUGGAGUGGGGGAUAACCGAGGGAAACUUCGGCUAAUACCGCAUACGCCGGGAAACCGGGAAAGAUUUAUCGCUCUAGGAGGGGCCCGCGUCGGAUUAGCUAGUUGGUGGGGUAACGGCCUACCAAGGCUUUGAUCCGUAGCUGGUCUAGAGAGGAUGAUCAGCCACACUGGGACUGAGACACGGCCCAGACUCCUACGGGAGGCAGCAGUGGGAAUAUGGACAAUGGCGCAAGCCUGAUCCAGCAAUGCCGCGUGAGUGAUGAAGGCCUUCGGGUUGUAAAGCUCUUUCGCACGCGAGGAUGAUGACGCUAGCGUGAGAAGAAGCCCGGCUAACUCGCGCCAGCAGCCGC
rnacentral:rRNA from 1 species